UAAGUCUGAUUCUUAUAUUAUCUGUUGGGUGUUUUUAUUAUGUCCCUUACUGUUUCUUGUCAUUAUUAUAAUAACUGAUCAAUGCCAUCAUGUCCGAAUUUCAUCCUAAAUAAAUGUUACUUUUAUGUUAUUACAUAUUUUUUUAAUUAGAUACUGCUACAGCAGAGUUUAAAGGAUUAUUAUCUACUUGAAAAUGCAAGAAGCAAACAUUUCAGAGGGCGGAAGCAAACCUGAAAUCAGAACUCGUAGAAAUGAAGGAAAAGGUGAAAUACUAAAUGUUUUUUUAAUUUAUUAGAAAUUUGUCUCAUUUUUGAAUAAUGUAUGACUCCUGGGAUCUAGAUAACUUAAAAAUGAACAGCAACAUAUUCCCUUUGGUUUUGGACUGUGAACUUAUUUUCAGAAAGUGAAUAUUCUUUGAGAUUUAUCUUAGGGCCAUUAGAAUCAUUAAUAGAUCUCCAUUACUUACCAGGUUUUUAAUUACACUGAAAUAAUUUUGAAACACAAGUAGAAAUUAAGCUACUGUACAAUAUGAUGGUUUACAUUGUACUUUUAACUUUUAAAAGUACUUAAUUAGCAUUAUUGUUUGAAUCAUAUAAAGUUUUUUUUUAAGUUUUUGUUCAUUUACCAAGGUCAACAGAAUAUCUGGUAUUCUUUUAUGUGUACAGUGAAGAAAUUUAAAAUGUAGAUCUUUUUUUCUCAAAAAGUCAUACAUUGAUGGUGGAAACAGUGGUAGUUCUUGUAGCAGUAGUCACUGUUAUUGCCAUUAUUGUUUUAAACACGGUGCAGCUCCGACAGCAGAUGGUACAUGUUAAUAACACUAAUAAAAUUAGUAUCUUAUGGCACUGUAACUUAUUGCAUAUUGUUAUUAUAUGUCUGUAGUGUCAAAAUGAAUACUAUAAAGACUAAUAUAAAAUGGUUUAGAAGACUGAUGUAUAUAUUAGGUAGAAGUUAAUGUUUUGUUUCUUGUGAAAGGACCACAUGGAAUAGUGAGCCCAACAGGCAGUAAUGAUGUAAUUUAUCUUCUUUUCUAGAAUGUAUUAAAUAUAAAUUGCACACACUCCAACUAUUACCUUGCUUUGCACA
rnacentral:lncRNA from 1 species